UACGAAGGGGGCUAGCGUUGCUCGGAAUCACUGGGCGUAAAGGGUGCGUAGGCGGGUUUUUAAGUCAGAGGUGAAAUCCUGGAGCUCAACUCCAGAACUGCCUUUGAUACUGAAAGUCUUGAGUAUGGGAGAGGUGAGUGGAACUGCGAGUGUAGAGGUGAAAUUCGUAGAUAUUCGCAAGAACACCAGUGGCGAAGGCGGCUCACUGGCCCAUAACUGACGCUGAGGCACGAAAGCGUGGGGAGCAAACAGGAUUA
rnacentral:rRNA from 1 species